rnacentral:rRNA from 1 species
GAUGAACGCUGGCGGCGUGCCUAAUACAUGCAAGUCGAGCGAACAGACGAGGAGCUUGCUCCUCUUACGUUAGCGGCGGACGGGUGAGUAACACGUGGAUAACCUACCUAUAAGACUGGGAUAACUUCGGGAAACCGGAGCUAAUACCGGAUAAUAUAUUGAACCGCAUGGUUCAAUAGUGAAAGACGGUUUUGCUGUCACUUAUAGAUGGAUCCGCGCCGCAUUAGCUAGUUGGUAAGGUAACGGCUUACCAAGGCAACGAUGCGUAGCCGACCUGAGAGGGUGAUCGGCCACACUGGAACUGAGACACGGUCCAGACUCCUACGGGAGGCAGCAGUAGGGAAUCUUCCGCAAUGGGCGAAAGCUUGACGGAGCAACGCCGCGUGAGUGAUGAAGGUCUUCGGAUCGUAAAACUCUGUUAUUAGGGAAGAACAAAUGUGUAAGUAAAUAUGCACGUCUUGACGGUACCUAAUCAGAAAGCCACGGCUAACUACGUG